rnacentral:misc_RNA from 1 species
UCCUAGUUUCCUAGGCAGUCCCAUCAGAGUGCCUCCGAAGAGUAGCAACUGACAGCAGGGGUUGCGCUCGUUAAAGGACUUAACCCAACAUCUCACGACACGAGCUGACGACAGCCAUGCAGCACCUGUGUACCCGUUCAGGCUUACGCCUGAAAAGCCAUAUUUCUAUAGCGGGCGUGUACAUGUCAAGCCCAGGUAAGGUUUCUCGCGUAGUAUCGAAUUAAACCACAUGUUCCACCGCUUGUGCGGACCCCCGUCAAUUCCUUUGAGUUUUAAUCUUGCGACCGUACUCCCCAGGCGGGUCACUUAACGCGUUAGCUACGACACUGGCCCCGCAGAGCGGAACCAACGUCUAGUGACCAUCGUUUACAGCGUGGACUAC